CUCCAUUGAUCUACAUGCUUGCGUGCAUGUGGGAGGAGAUGUUUUUGGGGGCAGCAGACUCUUUCCGUUGCGUUCCAUCCAGUGAGGAAGUCCGCCUUGUGGAAUGUAUAUUCACUAGGGGGUUUGGGGAGGCAGCGGAGCUUACCAAGCAAGAGGGUCGAGGCACUCUUUCAUUAUUUAUUUUUAUUUUUAACUCUAGCUAGUGACAGCAUUUGAACUUCCGGAUCCAGUGUUACAUGCCUGUUUAUAAAUAGUAGCUAGCUGGCUACAUGUCAGGCUAGUCUGGUCUAUGCUUUACAACGCUACUUUUUAGCCACAGAAGAUGAAGCAAACAUGUCUCUCUAUGAAUGGCAAUAGAUUGAACUACUCAGGAGAAUAAAAAAUUGCUGACAAAAUGGUGAGUUGGUCCAAUGAAGAGAAUACACGAGCUGGAGAAUACACGUCUGUUGUUCAACCCAUGUGAAGCAAUGAUGAGGAAAGACAUUUUCAAUACUUUCGGAUGUCGGAUGCCAGAUUUGAGGACUUGCAUCAGCGACUUCCCCCUAACCUCUAGCACGAGUGAACUCACAGCUUGACCGUCAUUGCUUCAGGAAGGCUGUCUUUGACAUGUUUUUUUUUGCCAGUGGCAGCACACAGAAGUGUGCCACGCAAUCUGGCAUGUCCUGAAGGAGGAUUUUGUUGCUUAUCCCUCUGUGGCAAAAAAUGGGCUUCACCAUGGUCGACGUGAAUGCAUAGCCGAGAGGGAGAUGCGGGAAUCUUUUCCAGAAGCAAGUUGGGCUCCCAACUCAUUACAGGCCAUCUGCCACUACCAAGGUCAGAGAGCUUGCCGGGGACCCAAACACAGAGCCUAUGUUUUCGUGGAAGAUGAGGCAUUCCCUCUGAUGGUAAAUUUAAUGCGACCAUAUCCAGAUUCUUCUGGCUUUAAUGGCGACAAGAAGAUCUACAACUAUCACCAUUCAAUAGCCAGAAGAAUUUCAGAGAACUGCUUUGGGAUCCUUGCUGCAAGAUGGAGGAUCCUGAGACGAGCCCUUGAGGUUGCCCCAGCUGUUCAAGUGCCUUUUCAGGAUACUGCGAUCACGUGUGGCAGCCUACAGUAAAUGUUGGAGUGUGGUUUGGAAAACGUGUGCACAUACACUAAGUGUACAAAACAUUAGAAACACCUUCAGAACAGUCGCUAUGCGUCGGGGCAUGGACUACAAGGUGUUGAAAGUGUUCCACAGCGAUGCUGUCCCAUGUUUAUUCUAAUGCUUCCCACAGUUGUGUCAAGUUGGCUGGAUGUCCUUUGGGUGGUGGACCAUUCUUGAUACACAGCAGUGUUGCAGUUCUUGACAUAAACCGGUGCGCCUGGCACCUACUACCAUACCCCAUUCAAAGGCACUUGAAUAGUUUUACCCUCUGAAGGGCACACAUACACAAUACAUGUCUCAAGUCUUACAAAUCCUUUUUUAAUCUGUCUUCUCCCCUUUAUCGACACUGAUUGAAAAGUUGUCUGGACUACGAGGGACCUCCGCCGACGACUCAAUCUGCACCCAUCGCAUCAUUGUCCAUAACAAACAGGGUAGGCAGGGGUAUUAAGGGUGUGCAACAUUUAUUUUCUGUUAAAUAAAUAACAUUUUUUAGCAAAGAAUUUUUUUUUAGUAAAGAUCUUUGUCGAAAACGUGUUGUGAUUGGAGCUCUGGAUUUUCUACACUGCAUUUUUUAAACAAUGCAGUGUAGAAUCUUUUAAACAAGAUGUGCUUUAGAAAUAGCAACUUGGAUUAAAUAUGACGAUGUUUGCCUUUCCGUGCUUUGUAUAGCCUCUACUGAAUAUGGUGCAAAUGUAUGCUCAGAUAUGUCAACUUCAUGUGAAGAAGCACAAUGAUUUUCGGCACCUGAACAGGUAAAAUUAUUUGUCCGCUGGGCAUUUCAUGAGUCGAAUUUAUCCCAUUUUCUAUCAGACAUAUGAGGAUGAAAAUUACAUAUCAUGUAAGGAUAUCUAUUGAAAUUAUGAAAAAAUAAAUAAAUACGGAUACAUAAAUGAUUAGGUGAUGACUACAGAUAUGAUACAUUUCUGAAAAUAUAUGGAUCUGCCUAAUUAUAAAGGCUUAGAUAUGUCAGCAUGUUGACACAUACCCUUUCCAGAGUUAGAAUAUUAGACAAAUAUGUAAGCGGGUGCACACGCAUCAGAUGUGUGUCUUGAAAAUAUCUCACCCCAGAUAUCUCCCUGGACUCAUAUGGUUUUGCAACUCCGGGAGAAGAGGAAUAGCAGAGCGGCAUGCAAAACUGCAUAUGGGCUCAUCUGGAAAAGAGAGGCUAUGUGUAGCUAAAGAAGCAAAUUCAUAUCAACCCAUCAUGUGUUGGCUAAAUAGUAAGCCCAAUGUUGCAGUAAUGUAUCAUCACCAGCCAAUGUGAUCACACUAUCGCACGCUUUCUCUCCUAUCAAACACCCACCAGUUAUUUUGGCUCUAGACAGAUAGCCUACUAGCAAUUUGUAGUUGCAUGCAUAUUAACCCAUCAUUUUCUUAGCUAAAUAAGGGCCUUUAAAUAUUUACCUGUUAAGUCAGGAAAAAAAUAUGAAAUGGCAGUGUGCAUUAGAGGCCAUUGCGGGUCCCAUAUGGACCCAAUAUGCAUAAAUGUAUACAAAAUAUAUAGAGACCGGAUCCAAGGACAACUAGACCCGUUCCAUAUAUACCUGAUCGGAUUCAGACUGGUCCGAUCCAAGUGAGGGAAGCAGCAGAAAGUACAUUUUUAAGCUACUUUAUUAACCGGAGCUGAUAAAGCGUGAUGGGAGAAGAGGUAGAGAGAGGUGACACUUUAGCAGGGGCUGCGCUGUGUGUGUAGACCACUGUGAGUGUGAGCAAGUGACAUGGGGAGCAGGGAGGGAUAGACAGCAACUAACCAACCCGACUCACGCCAUAGUAGACUAAUAGCUGCCAUAGCUAGGUUAUUUAUCAUCCAAUAUGAAUACGUAGUAGCUACCUGUCUUGAGCGCAUCAAACAGGGAGAAGCUAGUUAAGCUAGCUAGCUAGGCCUACAGCUACAAACAACAACUCAGAAUAUAAAGUAGCAACCUACUUGUUAGGCUACAGCGACCAAGAGCUUUCAUUCUUCUUUAACUUUUAAUUCCAUCAUUUUAAUUUCAUCUUCCAUUGAUUAGAUAUUUCCUAACUUUUGCCCCAUAUGAAGGCUCUAUGACUGUAACAACUGCUCCCACGUGGCGCAUCUCAGUGCAAGAGGCGAUACUACAGUCCCUGGUUCGAAUUCAGGCUGAAUCACAUCCGGCCGUGAUUGGGAGUCCCAUAGGGAGGCGCACAUUUGGCCCAGCGUCGUCCGGGUUUGGCCGUCAUAUGUUCUUAACUGACUUUCCUAGUUAAAUAAAGAUUAAAUUAUUUAAAAAUUAAA